UUUAAAAGCAAUGAGAGGAUGCCUUGGGUAGAAAAGAGGAUGAAGGACGUAGUUGGUUGCGAAAAGUUCCGGUAAGGUGCCAACAGCCGUUUGGAGCCGGAAAUGUCCGAAUGGGAGAACCUGGUCCGUAUAACGGAUCGCCAUAUAGGCCAAAACCUGGUGAAGUGAAAUAUCUCAGUAGCCAGAGGAAAAGAAAUCGUAAGAGAUUCCCGUAGUAGUGACGAGCGAACUGGGAAGAGUCCAAACUCACAUAGUGUAAGGUGCUAGCCGUUGCUAUGAUGAGGGUAGUAGGAUUAUUUAGGAUUGACUAGUAUCAAUCCAGGGACACAAUGUCUUUUUAAGAGAAGCAUCUGAAAAGGUGUACCAUAGAGGGUGAAAGUCCUGUAUCUAAAAAGAAGGCAUGGCCCAAAUAUCUCCUGAGUAAUGUCGAACACGUGAAAUUCGGCAUGAAGUUGCCCAGACCACUGGGUAAGACUAAAUACUUUUCUACACCGAUAGUGAAGAGUACCGUGAGGGAAAGGUGAAAAGAACCCUGGAAAGGGAGUGAAAUAGAUUCUGAAACUCAUUGCUUACAAGGGAGUGGGAGCUCGCAAGAGUGACCGCGUACCUAUUGACGAAUGGGUCAGCGAGUUGUUAGUAGUAGCGAGGUUAAGGCAGUUAUAGCCGGAGCCGUAGGGAAACCGAGUCUGAAUAGGGCGUUUAGUUGCUAUUAAUAAACCCGAAGCGUGACGAGCUACGCAUGGGCAGGAUGAAGAGUUGGGAAACUGGCUUGGAGGUCCGAACGGUUUGGUGCUGCAAAACCUUCCGAUGACUUGUGCGUAGGAGUGAAAAGCUCAUCGAGUUACGUGAUAGCUGGUUCUCUCCGAAAUGCAUUUAGGUGCAGCCUGCAAAUUAGAUCUUAUAGAGGUAGAGCUCUUACAAGGCUAGGGGUGUCGAAAGGCAUUACCAAACCUUAUUAAACUUCGAAUGCUAUAAGGAAUUUUGUGGAGUGAGACUGUGGGGGCUAAGCUUCAUAGUCGAAAGGGUAACAGCCCAGAUUUCUGGUUAAGGUCCCUAAAGUAUAGCUAAGUGGAAAAAGAGGUGUUUUUGCUUAAACAUCCAGGAGGUUUGCUUAGAAGCAGCAAUCCUUUAAAGAAAGCGUAACAGCUCACUGGACAAGCGAAAAUGCGCUGAAGAUGUAACGGGGCUAAGCUAUAUACCGAAACCGAAAGCCUUUUGAUUUAUCAAAAGACGGUAGGAGAGUGUUCUUUAUUGGCUGAAGGUGUGGCGUAAGCCUAGCUGGACGAUAAAGAAGUAAACAUGCUGACAUGAGUAACGACGCAAGACGAAAAUUCUUGCUGCCGAAAUCCUAAGGAUUCCUACGCAACGUUCAUCGUCGUAGGGUUAGGCGAGACCUAAGGCUUACUCGGAAACGAGGAGUCGAUGGACUGCUGGUUAAUAUUCCAGCCCUUAUAUAAAGAGUGAUGGGGUAACACAUUGGGAUGUGUGAGAGCGUGCUAAGGAUGUGCGUUGAAAGAGUGACGUGUUUUGACUUCGGUCAAAAGGUGGAGAUAGGCAAAUCCGUUUCCAUUAUAAACAAGCUUGAUCAGAAAUGAUUCCCUCGGGAUGAAUGAUUCUCAUAGUUUUGGUGUCAAGAAAAACCUCUAAACUUAUCUUUAUAUAACUCGUACCCAGAUCAGACACUUGUAGGAUGGUAGAGAAUACCAAGGCAAUCGAGACAACUAAUAAUUAAGGAACUUGGCAAAAAAGCGGGCCUAAGUUUGCAAUAAGCCCUGCCCUGCAGCAAUGUAGGGUCGCAGCGAAUGACGUGGGGGGGACUGUUUAUCAAAAACACAGCUCUCUGCUAACUCGAAAGAGGAUGUAUAGAGGGUGAUGCCUGUCCAAUGCCAGAAUGUCAUGUUCUCUUGUGCAAGCUCGAGAAUUAAGCACUGGUGAAUGACGGCCGUAACUAUGACGGUCCUAAGGUAGCGAAGUACCUUGUCGGGUAAGUUCCGACGCGCAUGAAUGGCAUAACCAUCCCCACACUGUCUUAAUUUUAGACUCGGUGAAAUUACAUUCCCGGUAAAAAUGCCGGGUAGUUGCAGUUAGACGGAAAGACCCUGUGAAGCUUUACUGUAGAUUGAUAUUGGGGUGUAGCAUUUGCUGCUCAGCAUAAGUGGGAGGCUUUGAAGUUUGGUUUUUGGACCAGGUGGAGCCGACAGUGAGAUACCACUCAAUAUAUGUAGCAUCUCUAAUUCCGUUAACGCGGAAAACAGUGUCAGUUGGACAGUUUACCUGGGGCGGGUGCCUCCUAAAAAGUAACGGAGGCGUACAAAGGUUUGCUUGUCACGGAUGGAAACCGUGGUGGAAGUGUAUUCGCAUAAGCAAGCUUAACUGUAAGACUAACAGGUCAAACAGAUACGAAAGUAGGUGAAAGUGAUCCGGAUCUUCCAUGUGGAAGGGGAUCCGCUCAACGGAUAAAAGUUACUCCGGGGAUAACAGGCUGAUC
rnacentral:rRNA from 2 species